rnacentral:rRNA from 1 species
GACGAACGCUGGCGGCGUGCUUAACACAUGCAAGUCGAACGAAGUGGCGCACGGGUGAGUAACGUGUAAUCAACCUCCCCUUCAGAGGGGGACAACAGUUGGAAACGACUGCUAAUACAGCAUACUGAAGGUGGUGAUUGCGUCGGAUUAGCUAGGUGGCGGGGUAACGGCCCACCAAGGCGAGGAUCAGUAGCCGGGCUGGGAGGGGGAACGGGCACAUUGGGACUGAGACACGGGCCCAAAUUCUACGGGGAGCAAGAAUGGGGGAAUUUCCGAAAUUGACGGAAGUCUGACGGCGGAAAGCCGCGGUGUUGAUGAAGGCCUUCGGGUUGUAAAGCUCCGUUAAUCGGGACGCGGUACCGGAAGAGAAAGCAACGGCUAACUACGUGCCAGCCGCCGCGGUAAUAC